rnacentral:piRNA from 1 species
UGAGAUUACAUAUGGGCUAUGAAUUGAGU